rnacentral:lncRNA from 1 species
AUCCUUUGAGUUCAUGAUUCAUGUGUUGACUUGAAGAAAUAUAUAGAGUUAAAACUGAGCUGAUCAAGAUAAUAUUACCUGUAUUGAUGUUUACUGCUAAUUUGUUUCGAGCAUCAGGGACAACUAAGAUUAAGAACCUGGACGACAAUAUUGGCUCCUUGACAAUAAAACUUACAAAAGAGGAUCUGAAAGAAAUUUCUGAUGCCGUACCCACAGAAGAGGUUGCAGGAGACAGAUACCCAGAUGCUCUUGACAAAACAUCGUGGAAUUUUGCAACCACACCUCCAAGAGACUGUUGAGGUUUGAACUUAAAAUAUUUGCUGGAUGCUGCCCAUAUCAUCACUCGGGGUUGGGAACUGGGGAUGUCAUAUUUUACACAAAUAAAGGCAGAUAAAUGUCAAAAUAUGUUUACAAGCUAUUGCUACAUGAUUUCAUGCUGAACAAUUUCAUGAGUAAAAUUUUGAUCAUUAUGAUGUACUAUAUAUAUGUAAAUGUAGUGUGCCCGAUUUGUGAAAUGAGAAUAUGUGUGAGCUUUGUUAAGGUGCAACUUGAUAAAUUUUUGCCGACACUCUUUCUUUGAAAUUGAAGAUUGCAAAUAUCCAAAUUUUUUAUGGAAACAAUUUGCCUGCAUUUGCUUCAUCCUAGCACAGAUACAUGUUGAUUCGCAGGCAAAUUAUGGUGUUUGUAGAUGAAACACUUGAUUAGUACUGAAGCAAAAUUAUAUUCAAGUUACAAUGCGAAAGGAAAUGGGAAAAUAACUGCCGUUUUUUUUUUUCCAGUAAAGAGUUUGAAUCCAUUUUUGAAUGUUUUCAGACUUUUGAGUCCCAUGAAUGUGAUAUAAAAAAAUGCAAUAUUUGAAACUCGUUUUAUCUCCAGUAGUUUCUCUCCUAGAAAUUGUAAAAUUCAUUGGAAUUUGAAAGAAUCACCAAAUUAACAUCAUUUUAUUGGAAACGUGGUGGUUAAAUGAUAAAAGGGGGAUUCUCCAAAUAAGAGUUUAAUAAUACUUUUAUCAUUCAAGAGGAUAAAAAAAAAAACUACCAUUUAAGUUUGACUGAUACUAUUAUUAGAAAUUAUAGAAUAUAUCACAUAUACUACAUCAACUAUACAAUAAGGAAAUGAUGUUAUAAUUUAUGUGCAUUCAUUUUGAAGGGAUUUAUAGUUAUAUUAAAUCUAAUUACCUAUGUUAUGCAUAUAUUAAUUGGUUGUAUUGUCUCAGAUGUAUUCUAUAAUUUCUCAAUUAUUACGUCCCUUGACAUACACCCCUUGAAAGUCUUCAUGAAACCCAUUUUCAAUUGAAACUACAUAACUAGUUAAAGACAAAAUUUAAUUGAUUAUAUUUUAAAUGAAAAUUCAAUUUGAAACUUAUUUAUUCUUUUAACAAACUUUUAAGCUCACACAAUCUCAUAUUCUAUACUUAUCUUUUAUUUUUUAUUUGAAAAUAUAAUUUUUUAUAUUAAAACUAUAAAGUCGCUUAAGAUUUUCUUUUCUUACCGAAAAUUAGUUUAAGAUAUAUCAUUUCGUUUUCUGUAUUUUAAUUUAAUAAUUUUUUUAUUACUAUGUAUAUGGUUAGUGGAGUUUCUAUAAUUAAAAAUUUUAUUCAAAAGGAAAGAAAAUGGAUUGGAGUUUUUUUUCAUAAGACAAAAAUGAAUUAACUCUAUGCAGAUCCCCGCGCGGCGCCCGGGGGAUGUAUUUAAAAAAAUUCAAGGGUUUCGUAAGAUUUGAGCUCCCACUGUAUAAUAACUUCAAGCCUUUUUCAGUAAGGGCCUCAAAAUUACCUACAAGACUUGAGCUGGGCUUGCAUUCUUAAACAAGGCCGAGUUCAUCGGAUUUUAGAAAAUGUAGAAUCCCAAAACCCACCUUUUGUUUUUUUGACUUUUUACCCUUAUACAUUUACCACCUUACAUUCUCUUAUUAACCUCACUUUUUAAUUAAACCCAUUUAUUUUUAAAAUUAUCUUUAUUAAAAAAUUAAAAAUAGUUAAAUUAAAUAAUUUUAUUUUUUAUUUUCUCUUUCAUAUACUUUUUCUGCCAAGCAUCAUCUUCACCCAGUACCUAACUUCAUCACUACCAUGUCCAUCAUUACCACCGCACAUCUUCAUCACCAUCAAUCUACAACCACCUACAACACAUUAUAAUUUGUUAUUGAAUCUUAUUAAAUUUUGUAGAUAAUUGGUGGUUUCUAAUGAUGUCGAUCAUAUGUAUUUAUUUAUUACUUUUUUUUUGUGGUGAUAAUCCAACAUUUUGACAAUUGCAAUGUGGAAUUUGUUUGGGGACUAACAUUUGAUGGAAAUUGUAAAUCAAUUCAAGAAAGUGAGAGAGAUAUGAAAGAGGAAAAGUCGCGAGCUUAAGAAAAAAAAAAAUAAUAAAUAACUAGAGUUGAUCAAGAAAUACAAAUUGGUGAGAUAAAGUGAAAUAAUCAACUAUCAAUGUUCACUUUUAAAAUUUUAAUUACCUUUUACUUUUUUAGUGAUUUAGAACUCGUUAAAUUUUUUAAUUCUGUACAAGUGAAAAUUAGCCAAUAGAAAUGUAUGCUGGUAAGUUGCUUGUUAAUCUUACUGGCAGUUGAGCUUUAGUACAAUUAGAUGACAUUGUUUGUUAGCAUUGACAUUAUGAAAUUCAAUGGGCUAGCUAGGUAGAAAGAUGACAUAUGGUAGGUUUAUAAUCGUUGAGUUUCCACAUAAUUUUAAAUGUAUAGUUUUUAAAGGUUUUAGUAAAUAUUUACUAUUUAAAUAAAUAAUAUUCACCGAACACUUACUCAUUUAUAUUUAAUAAUAAGUAAUUUUGUUCUACAAAUACUUUAGAGGCAUUAUGUCUAUUUUUAUUGGUCUACUUGUCUUUAACAUUUUUGGUCCUAAAAUAAUUAUCAAUUUUUAAGAAGAAUUAAAAGCAAAAGGAUGUUCACGUACCUGCUUACAUGAUGAAUGUAGUUUACCGGAAGGGUGCUUACAUAUUUGCUUACCUGAUUAAUGUAGUAUAUGAUUCUUUAUGGAUUCGACUUACAAUUUUUGUCACUUAUUUAUAUGUUUGAUUUGAUGUUAGAACUUGAAAGUGACAAAAUUUGUGAUUUAGAAGUUAAAUUAAUUUUAUUUUUAUAUUUGUAUAAUAAAAAAAAUCUAUAAUACAAUAUAUUAACACCAAACAAGACCUAAACUUCCAGCUCUCGUUUUUUUUUUUUUAAUUGAAUAAUGUAUAUGGUUCAGCUUUAGAGUUUUAGACAUUUUAAAGACGUUUAUUUUUCAACUUAACACUUAAAAAUUGGUGAUUAUGUUUGAAUUUAAUUUUUUUUAUUUUGGCCAUGGUUGCUGUGUAUGUGUGUGUAUGUAUACAAAUACAUCACGACUUGCUCCCCGCACAGAUCACGCUUUAGAUUUUUAAUUAUAUAUUUUUAUUAUAGGCUAAGUUAUUUUGUCCAAUACUCCACGGCAACAAAUUAAAAGCUUUAUCAAUUUCCUAAUGAUUUGAAUUUUCAUAAUUACAAGAACAAAUCAUUUCAAUCGUAUUGGUAUUAAAACUUCAAUUUGAUAUCAUACAUCACUACAGAUCACACAUGCCCGUUUUAUUGUGUAAAUCAAAAAACAACAAUAGCGAAAAUUUUAUUUUGAUAAAAAAAAAAAUUAGGUUAUAAAAUUUUGAUAAAAAGUAUAAAAACAUCAUAAUAUCUUGACCCAAAAAAAAAAAAAAAAAACUGAUUGAUAACUACCCUGAUAUUUUAAUCAAAAUUUAUAACUCAAUUUUUUUGUCAAUGCAGCAUUAUUUAAUAAACGGACUCGAUUGACCGUUAUGUUUGUUUUUCCUUUAGUUCUUUUCAACAUUUUUUUUAUUCUAAAAAUAAAUAAUUACAAGACGCGAGGGCUAAGGCCACCUUCAUUUUGGUUCCUUAUAAAUGUCAUGAGUCCCACUCCCAUGCCUCCAUAUCUCUGCAUCUUAAGAGGCCGAGACAAGUCUUAAGCCAGUACCAAGAAGAAGAAGGAGAAGAAGAAGUUUGAAGAAAAUGGCUGAAGAACAAAGAAUCGAGAUUCCAAGGGUGAAACUUGGUGGGCAAGGAUUUGAGGUAAAGUUCAUUUGGUAACUCUUUUCUUUUACAGCAUUAGGAAAAAUAUAAACAAUCACAGAGAGACAUUACUGUUUCUCAUAUAAUAUUUUUUGAUGGCUUAUAUGUGUCUUAAAGGUGUCAAAGUUGGGAUUUGGUUGCAUGGGCCUCACUGGAAUUUACAAUGAUCCUGUCCCUGUUGAAGUUGGCAUAUCAAUAAUCAAGCACGCAUUUGAUCAAGGAAUCACAUUCUUUGACACAGCAGACGUCUAUGGACCCAAUAAUGCUAAUGAACUUCUUGUUGGAAAGGUAAAUGAUUAAUUGAUAAAACUGAUGGGUGAAAACUCUUGGCAUGCAAGAUUACUUUGUUUGAGUAAUUAAUUGAUGAAUCUUUUCAGGCUCUCAAGCAGCUUCCAAGAGAAAAAGUGCAGCUAGCCACAAAAUUUGGUAUUGUCAAAUUUGACAUGAGUGAUGUUGUGGUAAAGGGUACCCCUGAGUAUGUCCGCGCCUGCUGUGAGGCUAGCCUGAAGCGUCUUGAUGUUGAAUACAUUGAUCUCUAUUAUCAGCAUCGCGUUGACACAACGAUACCUAUAGAGGAUACUGUAAGUAAUCUGCUGCCUUCAUUUCUGAUUUCCUUGUCAGUAGUCACCAGUUGCCGCAUCAAUAGUUAUAGUGGUACAUUUUGCUUCUUAUCAGAUGGGAGAACUUAAGAAGUUGGUGGAAGAAGGGAAAAUAAAGUAUAUCGGGUUAUCUGAAGCAAGCCCUGAUACUAUAAGAAGGGCACAUGCCGUUCAUCCUGUUACUGCCUUACAAAUGGAAUGGUCUCUCUGGACUCGCGAAAUUGAGGAUGAAAUAGUCCCACUUUGCAGGUUCUUUACAAUGAAACUGAAAUUGAUAUGUUGUCAUUCUCAUUUUUAUCUAUUCAACUACAGUAGAUUUUCUUUGGUAAAUGACUCUCAUGCCACCUCUUCAGCUAACAUAUUCCUGCAAGUUUGAUUUCUGUAAAUGAGAGGCAAUUGUCAAUUUUGAAUAUUAUGUUACAGGGAACUUGGAAUUGGGAUAGUUCCAUAUAGUCCACUUGGCAGUGGAUUUUUUGGUGGCAAGGCUAGUGUUGAAAGUUUGCCUGCGAACAGUCUUCUGGUAUGUUUUAGUCUACAAUGUUUCAUUUGUUAUUCUGAUGUUGUUACUUUUGAGAGUAAUUUUGAAUUGAUUAACUGAUGGUCAAUUUUUCCUUAAGACAUGGCAUCCUAGGUUCUCAGGAGAGAACAUUGACAAAAACAAGAUCUUAUAUUUGCGUCUGCAAAAGUUAGCCGAAAAGCAUGAAUGCAACCCUGCACAACUUGCACUUGCUUGGAUUCUUCAUCAAGGAAAUGAUGUAGCACCAAUUCCUGGUGAGUUAAUCUCCUUAUUUUCUUAUCAGCCGGUGCAAUCAUGAUAGACAUCUCUCCUAUAUGAGUUGAUAAGCCUUGUGUGUGCUUUAAUAUUUUUUUUUUUUCUUUUUACAGGUACAACAAAGAUUAAAAAUCUAGACGACAAUAUUGGUUCUUUGAGAGUGAAACUUACAAAUGAAGAUUUAGAUGAGAUUUCUUCUGUGAUUCCCAUCAAUGAUGUAGCAGGGGAUGGGGUAAUUGGCGGUCUCCUCCGUUGCUCCUGGAAGUUCGCGAACACACCAGCAAAAGACAGUCCUCCACUUCCGGCAAUGAGGUAGCAGGGGACAGAAUAACGGAUAAGUUUCCUUCGCUGCUCUUGGAAGUUCGUGAACAUACCAUUGCAAGAUAGUCCCUCCAGCUACUAAAAGCAUCUGAAACUUGAAGAUUUUCCAUUGAAGAGAAUUUUUUUUUUUUUGUUCAAUUUAUAAUGAGAGAUUGUGUCACUAUGGGAAAAACUACUAUAGUUUGUUUCAAUAAAUGAUGGGGGUAUGCAUGGUAGCUUUUAUGUAUUUGAUUUCAGCUUGCUUUGCUGCUAAAGAAAUACUAUGUAUUAAUGAAUGAUAUGUAUCAAACUCAAGGCUAUUUCCAGCAAGUAAUCUCCCAAAGGAACCCAACAAUAGAUGGAUUUGUAGCUAUUUGCCUCCUUUUGGUAGCAAUUUGACAUCAGUGCAAUAACAAUUCAAAUAUUGUUCGGAAAAAUUUAAACCCUUGAUUUAUUCAUUAUGUAUCAUGAUGAGGCAAUACAACAACAAAAAGAUGCUGUACUUAUCAGAUAUUAUUCAGUUUGNNNNNNNNNNNNNNNNNNNNNNNNNNNNNNNNNNNNNNNNNNNNNNNNNNNNNNNNNNNNNNNNNNNNNNNNNNNNNNNNNNNNNNNNNNNNNNNNNNNNGCAUUUCAUCUUUUUACAAGCUCAAGAGUAAUAUCAGGAGGCUAAAUUCACCCCCCAAUGUGAUAAAUAUGUAAUCUCAUUGAUAGAGAACAUUUUAGGUGGGAUCGACGUACUUCGUUUUCGUACGUACUCUUGUAAAAUUUUAACAAAUAGAUUUAUCUGAAUUGAUCAAACAUGAUAGAAAGAGAGAAUAAAAACUAAAAUGUGUCAUGUGACAUAAUUUUAAUUAGGGGUUCGGCUACGUUGGAUCAGCUCCAACGUAGCGCCAAUUUUAAUCAGGGUUUCGGCUAUGCGAUCAUAUAAAUCUGAUCUGACAAUCACGAUUACAUGGACUCAAAAUACAAGAUAUGCACAGGAUUAUGGGGUCUUCUUCUCCUUCGCUCUUCAUCGGUUGUUUGACCAAAUACAAUAAACGAAUCAAAGAAAGCAGGACAUGCAAUGAACCCUAUAUGAAAAAGGGGAGUGGGUGUCUGAAUGCCUCUUGAAUUGAAUCGGCCAAGUGUUGUUUGCAUGCGCUCUACAAACUGCUUUGCUGUCAUCUGAAGCUGAAAGAAUUAUCCCUAGCUCCGUCGGUUUUUUCUGCAACAAAACGACAAUCCCUGCCUUCACUCAUCUUAAUUCAUCCCCUGGUUUUGUUCCUCCUUUUUUAAUCAAUAAUUAAUUCCUGCUCCCUGUUUCCCCUCUCUCUGUAGACUCUACCCACCAAAACCAUUUGCUAUCUUUCCAAUUUUCUUCCGUAUAUAUACACACAUUCAUAGAACAUUUUAUAUUACAACACUACGUAUAUUACUGAGUUACUUUCAAUAGAAAGAUAAAAAAGUGGUAUACAUGUAUACGAUGGAGACGGUGCAUGGACUGUAGGGGAAGCUGGGGCGGCAAUGCUAUGCUGUAUUUUGCUUGGGUGUGAUUCUUGUUGUGUCGGUGACAAUCGCUCAUUAUGUUGAACCAAAGGAUAAUUCUGCAUCAGCUACUGGUUAAAGCAGAGCCAAGGCCACCCGUCGUGGUCUUCGACCUUUACACAGUCCUCUUCCAGUGUCUCCGAAUUUCUACUGAUCAUCACUCCCCACCAGCCAACCAGCUGCUCUAUGCUACCUUCUAGAAUUCUAGAGACUUUAAUUAACUAAUUAAAUUCUAGACUUGUUUAUGGGUUUAAUCAAUUUGCUCCCCCAGUUUCUAUGUAAAAAUUUUGCUUAAUUUAAUUAAUUGUGUUGGUGCGAGAUUCGGUGUUUGCUCGUUCACGACCAGGAUCUCUCCUCAAUGCUCAAGUUUACAGUUGACUAUAGGUAACUUCACGCUGCCCCUUUGUAGACGAGUAGAACUAUGACGCUUACUCCUUCUCUCCAACAGACUCUUGCGCACACAAAAACUGAUCAGAGCACGUUGAGGGUUUUCCCGGUGUAAACCCUCCGACGCUCAAGUCAGAAAUUUGGGCUUACUUUUGAAAAAACUCCAUCAAUAAUUUCUUGGCUUUGUAAUGAUUCCUAAAGCAAUGAAAUCCCUAUGAAUUUUCUUGAGGUUCUCACUAGAAUGCCCCCCGGAAUUUCUUUUUGUCUCUUUUUUAGUUUUUUUUGUCCAACCCUUUUACCUUUUUUUAUUGCCCUUUUCAUAGCCUCCCUGAGAAUUCGACCCUCUUUGACUCAUGUUUGCCACUUUGCCAGAAUCCUCGGAAGUAGAUGGCUGAACGUGGUGGUCGUAGUUGAGUGGACUUCGUGCCUGGAUUCUAGAAUAAUAGUGCAUGUCCUGUUUAACUGUCGUGUACUAGGUCUGCUGAUUUAGCCCCUAACGGGAAAUGUUCUCGACGCCUAGCAAGGAACCUGCUCGUAUUAUGGUUCCAGUAUAUGGUCUUCUCAUAGACGAGGAGAAGACUCCUGCUCUCGGACGUCACAUUGCUCCUCGCUUACGAGAAGGUCAACUCCUCGCCUGGGUAUGGCAGAUCACGCUAUAAUAUCCCCCCAAACACCGGUCCCCCAGUUUUUGGUAUUGGUAAUGCAAUGGAUCAAUACUAGAAACUUAAUAAUCUUGGUUUGCUCGUAGUAUAUUUCGACCUCUUGAUAUUAGGUCCAUUAUGGCUACCAUUUUGGCAAGGAUAUCUGCUCGGUAGUUCUCGCUCCUUGGGAUUUGCACUACGUCCACUGAUUCGAACUUCCCAAUCAACUGUCUGACCUUUUUUAGUUACUGUUCCAUCUUCUCAUUUAUGGGUUGAAAUCUUUCACUGACGUGGCUCGCGACCAGUUGGGAAUAGGUCCGGAUUUUCACCCUAUUUUCUUUCACUGCCUUAACUAACUCUAACCCUGCAACUAGAGCUUCGUAUUCGGCCUGGUUGUUUGUGGCCGUGAACUCUAACUUGACAACGUAAGAGAUCUCUUCCCCUUCUCGGCUUUCCAAAACAAUCCCUGCUCCGGCACCCUACUCACCUGAGGAUUCAUCCAUUGACGCUUGACAAACUGCCUCCGUCGUUGCCUGCAGCAGCACUUGUGUGGUCGAAGUCUACUUCAGGCUCUAUGAACUCUGCCACGAAGUCUGCCAUCGCUUGGGCUUUAAUUGCUGCUCGGGGUUUGUAGCUUAUAUCGAACUCGCUUAGCUCUAUUGCCCACUUCACUAGCCGACCGAAAGCAUUCGGUUUGUGUAUGGUCUACCACAAUGGUUGGUCUGCUACUACCGCAACUGAGAAUGCUUGGAAAUACGGUCUCAACUUUCGAGCAGCCACUACAAGGGCGAGUGCCCAUUUCUCCAACGGCGGGUACUUGGUCUCGGCAUCGAGCAGAGCUUUGCUGGUGUAAUAUAUUGGGUACUGGACCUCUUCUUCUUCUCUCACCAGAAUUGAGCUUAUACCGUGAUUGGAUACACAGGACGUCCCCCUCUCGUGGUGUGGACAAUAAGAGUGUUUGUUGUAGGUAUUGUUUCAGUUUCGAGAAUGCCUCUUUGUAUUCGGGGGUCCAUUCUAUUUUCCUCCCCAUCCUCAUCACUUGAAAAAAGGCAUGACAUUUGUCUGUGGCCUUGGAUAUAAAUCGACUCAACGUCGCCAACUUUCCCGUGAAGCUUUAUAUCUCCUUCAAAUUACAAGAAGAUCUCAUUCCCACAAUUGCUUGGAUCUUCUUAGGAUUCGCCUCAAUCUCCCGAUGGCUUACCAUGAACCCAAGGAAUUUUCCCGAUCCAACUCCAAAAACACACUUUUUCGGGUUGAGCUUCAUAUUAUAUUUUCUCAAAAGCCCAAAUGUCUCCUCAAGGUGCUUGACGUGUUCAUCCGGGCUUUUUGAUUUGGUUAUUAUGUCGUCCACAUAAACCUCAAUCAUUCGCCCAAUCAAUGGCUUAAAGAUUUUGUUCACCAACCUCUGGUAUGUAGCACCUGUAUUUUUAAGGCCGAAUGACAUUACCCUGUAACAAAACAAACUCUGGUUAGUAAUAAACGUCGUGCUCUCCUCUUCAUACUCGUACAUUAGGAUUUGGUUGUAUCCAGAGAAUGCGUCUAUGAAGCUGAGCAGAUUAUGCCCUGCUGUUGAGUCAACCAGCUGGUCGAUCUUCGAUAGGGGAAAGCUUUUUUUCAGGCAUGCCUUGUUGAGGUCGAUGAAGUCAACACAUAUUCUCCAUUUACCAUUGGCCUUCCUUACCAGAACGACAUUCAAUAUCCAUUCGGGGUAGUUCACUUCCUGAAAGAACCCUGCCUGCAAGAACUUCUCCACCUCGCUAUUUAUGGUUUCGUAUCUCUCCUGGUUGAAAUACCUUCUCUUUUGCCUCACAGAUCUGACACCCUUCUUUAUCGCCAACCUGUGGCAAGCCACCUCGGGGUCGAUCCCCGGCAUGUCAUCAUGCGUCCAUGCAAACAUAUAUGCGUGAGAUCGCAUGCAGUGUAUCAACUCUUGCUUCAACUCCCCCUCUAUCUUCGACCCAAUCCUAAGUGUUUUCCCCAUGCCGUCCUGAUUCAAGUUAACAGUCUCCAGCUCCUUAACCGUCUCAUGUCUGCCCCUCAUAAAUUUUGCUUAGGCAUGAAGCGAGGUAAUUUACAUCGCCUCUUUCGUUGCUGUAGUGUAACAGCUUCGAGAAAUUCUCUAAUUUUCUUGUACCACGCCAACCACCCAAUUUACUCAGUACUUGAAAGCCAAGUAAUGAUUAGAUAGCACCGCCUUACUCUUCCUCAAGAAAGGGCGGCCUAAAAUCAUCUAGUAGGGGCUCUCUUCAUCGACCACAAUAAAAUCUAGGAUCAUUGUCUUUUCUAAUGGAGCAGAACCUAUAGUAAUGGGUAGCUCGACCACUCCAAGUGGGGCUAGCCUUCCUCCCCCGAACCCCUUUAAUGAUGUGUUGAUGUGCUCUAUCCUCAAAUCUGCUAUUCCCAUUUCCUCCUAAGUUGACUUGAACAGGACAUCGACUGAGCUCUCAGUAUCUACUAGGAUUCAAUCAAACUUCUUGCUGGCGACGAUGGCUUCAAUGACAAGUGCAUCCUCGUGUGGGUAUAGCACUCAUUCUUCGUCCUCAUCCAUCCACAUGAUCAGCACAUGCUUGGUCCUUGUUCGUUUUGCCGUCGGAGUGUUAAAUAAUACUUUUUUGCUAGUCAUGGCAUACCUAGCAUAGUUCUUUCUAGAUCUGUUGGAAUCCCCAGCCAACGUUGGGCCCCCAACGAUAACUCUGAUGAUGGGCUGCUUGUGGCCUGCAUUUCUAGUGCCCUGCUCUGCUCCACAUGAUGAGCCUGCAAUCGAGAUAGCUCUAUCUAUGAACUCGUCCAAGUAACGAUUCCUCACUAAAUCUUCCACCUGAUUUUUUAGAUCACUGCAUUGGGACGUAGUAUGACCAUGGGUGCCAUGGAAUUCGCAAAACCGGCCCUUAUCUCAUCUGCUAGGUAGUUUUGCUAUUGGGGUAGGAGGAUACAGCAAACCAUGAUCCUUUAUUGCAUUGUACACAUCGUCCAGAGGCGUCUUCAAGGAAAUGUACCGCCUAUAGCUCUAACUCUGAUCGAUCACGUGCAUUGCCUUUUCCCUGUGGGCGUUGUUUUAAGCGGGAAGGGGCAUUGGUGCAUUUGGUCUGCUAGCUCUCAUACUCUGUAGGUGGUGGGUCAUCGUAGUAUGAUAAUGAAGGUGACUAUACAUCUAGUCAAGCCUUCCCCAAGAAUCUCUAGCUAGUGAACGAGAAAGCUGCAUCCUGCUACGUUGAUAUUGGAGUGGCCUCUGGUGAGGUUGGUAAGAGGCGACCCGACUUCCCGCACUGCCACCCGGGGCAUAGUGGUCCUUCCAUUUAAUUGGCCCGCUUUCUGCUAUGACUUUCUUUUCCUUUCUCCUCAACCCCUCCAGCUGGUCCGUCUUAAUCCUCGUCGUUUUUUCCUCCUCGAUUUCUAUGUCCCUCUUGGCUUGCUAAUAGGCCACGAAAUAUGACUGAACUGCUGGACUCCUUAAGUUGUACCACAGACUCUCUAUCUUUACUCCUUCCUUUAGCCCCCUGAGGAUGGUUGAAGGCUCUAAGAUCGAGGAUAGCAUGAUGGUAUCUUUUGAUAAAGUCCCGAAGAGUCUCAUUUUCUCCUUGCUUCAUACUCGUCAGCUCCAUCAUAUCAUCUUCUGGUGCCAUUGUCCCCCGAAAUUGCUCUGCAAAUUCCUGGCACAUCUGCUCGAAUGUUCUGAUGUUUCCCGGAGGAAACCUUCGAUACCACUCACCCUGCAUCUCUGGGCUUGAGAUAAUCUCUACACUCCGGUUAAGUCAUUGAAACGCUUUAUGUGCACCAAUGGGUCGGCUCGACUAGGAUCACGUGCCGUUACCUGGUCUUGCUCUUGCUCGACAUCACGCAGGUGUUGUCGAAGUUCCAUCUCCUCAGCGUUCGCAACCCUGUUAUUAUUGCCCGUGUUCUGCCUACCCGGGGGUUGAUUCCCUCUUUCAUGACUUUCCGUAGAGAUUGGUCAUUGAGUCCACCACCAGGCCUCCCGGUAGUUAAACCUUUCAUCAGAGUGGUCCCUUCACCGUUGUUCCUUCUAUUAACAUGCCCUAGUGUAACUCUGUCACUUCUCAUUAUUUCUUCGUGAGUUUCUCUUUGUUCUUUCUCAACGCGUGCAAGAUAGUUGUCAGAGUUUCCAUCUGUUUUCCAUCUGCUCAUGCAUUGCUCUUUCUCACGCCUCGUUAGUUAUUUCUCUUAAUAUUACGGAUUCGUUAAGCCCCAUAUCCCCUCCUUGGACAUUACUCCUACCUACGUCCAUAGUCGCCCCUCUUUUUUUCCCUUCCUUCUCUAUGUUAACGCUCGCUGUUAACGAAAGCUUUUUGUUCAGCUCCCCAUAGACGACGGCAAAAUGUUGAUGCGAGAUUUGAUGUAUGCUCGGUCACGACCAGAAUCUCUCCUUAAUGCUCAAGUUUGCAAUUGACUAUAGGUAACUCCACGUUGCCCUUUUCUAAACAAGUAGAACUAUGACGCUUACUGCUUCUCUCGGCAGACUCCUGCACAUACAAAAACUGGUCAAAGCACGCCGAGGGUUUUCCCGGCGUAAACCCUCUGACGCUUAAGUCCAGAAUCUAGGCUUACUUUUGGAAAAACCCUGCCAAUAAUUUCUUGGCUUUGUAAUGAUUUCUAAAGCAAUGAAAUCCCUGUGAAUUUUCCUGAGGUUCUCACUAGAAUGCCCCCUGGAAUUUCUUUUUGUCUCUUUUUUAGUGUUUUUUGUCGAACCCUUUUACCUUCUUUGAUUGCCUUUUUUAUAACCUCCCUGAGAAUUCGGCCCUCAUUGACUCACGCUCGCCACUUUGCCGAAUCAUCGUAAGUGGAUGCUUGAACGUGGUGGUCGUAGCUGAGUGGGCUUCGUGCCUGAAUUCUAGGAUAAUAGCGCAUGUCCUAUUUAACUGCUGUGGACUGGGUCUGCUGAUUUAGCCCCCAGCAGGAAAUGUUCUCGACGCCUAGCAAGGAACCUGCUCAUAUUCUAGUCCUAGCAGAUGGUCUCCUCAAGGACGAGGAGAAGACUCCUGCUCUCGGAUGUCACAUUGCUCCUCGCUUAUGAGAAGGUCAACUCCUCGCUUGGGUAUGGCAGAUCACGCUAUAAUAUCCCCCCAAACAAAUUGUUAAUUAACAAAUAACAGAAACGCUAAUUUUCGCGCAAGUUUCAAUAUUACUUACUUGGUUGCCUUCUGUUCUCGUGUUUGCGUCUUUGUCUUCCAUUAUGAGCACUAAAAAAGGUAUAAUCAACGGUUUGCGAGAUAGUUGCGACUGCAGUAGGUGCCAGCGUCGAUCAUCAGCAUGGCGAUGCAUAGUAGAAUUAAGCGAGGAGAGAUAGAGAGAUAUAAUCAAUGAUUGCUGAUCAAAUUUGAAACUUUCCAGCGAACCGACGGUGAUGAUGAGAUUGAUUCCGAUUAUAAUGAAGAAACUGAUGAAGAGCGAAGGAGAAUAAGACCCCAUAAUCCUAUGCAUAUCUUGUAUUUUGAGUUCAUGUAAUCGUGACCGUCACAUCGAAUUUAUAUAAUUGUAUGGCUGGUAUUAGUUGGAGGUGAUCCAAUGUAGCUGAACACUUUUAUUAGACAAUUACAUCGUGUGUUGUGACUGUAAAUUUCUCCCACACCUAACAUUUUGCAAAGUACAGGGAUUAUUUUGUCAAAUCUUAAAAUCGUUUGCACUUGUUUUGAAUUACACUAAAUUGACCAAUCAUGAUAGUAAGAGAAAAAAAAAUGAAAAUUCGUUUGCACACAACAACACAACAGAGGCAAAGCUUAUGUUACAAAUAUUGUAACAAACAACUAAUAGAUAUGGAUCAUUAAUUUUUAUAUUUCUUAAAUCCAAUGGAUGAAAGUAAUUUUAACCAAAAACGAGGUACGGGUGCAAUAGUAAUUUAAAGAAAAUUUUAUUUUUAAUCACAUAUUUACUUAUUUUUUCAAAUAAGUCCUCAUUAAUUUUGUAUAAUUAUAUAGUUUUUUAUAUUUAUUUUUAAAUUUUUUAAAAAGUUUUUACUAUAUUUUUAUAAGAAUUUAAAUGAUUAUCAUGUUCAUAAAUAUCCACAAAUUCUGAAUAUAUAUUUGCACCUGUAUUUAUAAAUUCUUGUCUCUCUUAAGAUAUAAACUAGAUUUUUUCUACACACACCAUAAAUGCUUUCACAUAGAUUUUGUAAUAUGAAUCUAGCAUCCUAAAUUAUAAGAGAUAUUAUAUAUCAUGAAUAUCCUAUGAAUUUAAUGAAUUAUUAGAAAAAUGAUACAAUGAAUAAAUUACCAAAAUUUCUAAUAAUUUCAAAAAACAUAAAAACCAAUAAGCUACCACAUUCUAGCUAUGGGCGAAAAGGAUUUUCAGGUGGAAGAUUUCAACUUUUCGAUUGGAUCAAUGAUUCAAACACGUGAGCUAAUAAUCAAUUAAAUUGAACUUCGUUGUAUUUAUUAAAUAAAUUAAGAAACCCAAAUUUAUCUAUAAAUUAUAUAGAAAGUGCAAACAAAAUGUAAGAGAUUAAUAAUUUCAAUGACGAAAAUAUAAAACAAAUUAAAAAUUCAGGAGAUCAAAUGAGCAAAGAAUUUUAUAAGGCUAAACAAUUAAUGAAAUAAUUCAAUAUUGAAGAUCAAGAUAAAUUAAAGUAAGAGAUCAUUAAUAUAACGAAUAAAAACUGAAUAGAUGUAAGAUUGAAUAAGUUAGAGAUUCAAUUGGAUAAUAUAGAAAAAAAAAAUUGUUGAGAAACUGUACUAAAUCUAUUGUAAAUAUAAAUAGAAAAUUUUAAGAAAAUUGAAGUUCGAAGAUACAAUUACGACAAAAAGGGCAAUUAUAUUGAUCUCCAAACAACCAUCAAUGCAAUUUAAAUGAAAGAUGUGAUUGUAUACAGGAGAAAUUCAACAAGUUUCAUCAUCUGUAAAAGUUUCCAAGCAAAUAGCACAGUCACUAGAACUUGAUGAUGAUGUAGUUUUUAACCUUUUGUAAUUUACAAGUUGCUUCAUUUUAUUCAAGGUUUGCUCUCUUUGCCUUUGCCUUUCUUUUGAGAUUUAUAAAAAUCUAUUUAAUAUCUCUAAUAGUUUAUUUAAUAUCUCUAAUAGUCAUAAGUUGGUUUGAUGAGACCAAAUGUGAUCAAAAUCAAAUCUUCUUUGCCAGAUAAAAAACCAACCAAAAACGUGAUAAAAGAAGAUGAAGAUAUACAAACCUAUGAGGCAAAUGUGGAUAUAAUUUUGGGAACUGUGAGAAAUAAUAAAGACUUGAGGGGGCAUAGGUUUUGCCAUUGAUGUUGACGAAAGGGUGGCUAAUAUCCCUCCUGGGAAAUUUCAAAGACUUUCACAGGCAUCUUGGGGUUUAAAACAAAAUUUUAAAACUCAUUGACUUUUUUAUAAUUAUAAACUUUACGAAGGAUUUAAAAUCUUUUAGCUGUAACGUACAGCUAAUGUAACGGAAGUUUUGCCCCCAUCAGAACCAGUUUCAGGUUUUGAAAUUUCCCACCAUCCGAUUCUGUAACAAACAUCUCCCGUCAUUCCACCAUCCGAUUUUCUAUUGUUUAGUUUCUCACUCCACAUCCAACCACAUCCAACGGCUGAUGCUGCAGUCUGUAGCUUACAGAUUCUGUAAGCUAGUCAAGUCCCAGUUUCAGCACUUUAAAUAAAAAAGUACCUGUCUUCACAUCCUUGGAGUUGGAGCCAAACCAGAUUCCUUUCCUUUUUGUCCCACAUCCAGCUCAAGCUCAAGUCAACCAACUAAUUAUUGAAAGAAUACCAGGACAAACCAAAACCACAGCAUCAAAUAUGGCAGAAGGGAUGAAACUCCAAGUUCCGAGAGUGAAACUCGGAACCCAAGGCCUUGAGGUAACUACCCAUUUGUAAUUUUCUUUUUUUUUUGUUCUUUUAAUCCUGAUCGUUUGAUUUCUCUGAUUGUGUUUUUUUGCUUUUACAGGUAUCAAAGCUGGGAUUUGGAUGCAUGAGCCUGAGUGGAGGUUACAAUUCUCCAGUCUCUGAAGAGGAUGGCAUCUCUAUAAUAAAGCAUGCUUUCAAUAAAGGAAUCACUUUCUUUGAUACUGCUGAUAAAUAUGGACCAUAUACUAAUGAAAUUCUUCUUGGAAAGGUUAGGAUCUUGACUCUUGACACUUGUGUAAGAAUUCUCUUAACUAAACACUUGUUAUGUUUGAUUAAUUUAGUUACAAUUCACAUCUAGAUCAAGCGGUAACCUAAAGAGUAUGAUAGCUGCUAUGGUUCAAGUAAUUUAACUGAUAACUAUGGAAUCACACUCCUAAUAUAAUAUGUUUGUUCAAGGAAUUGGUGAAUAUUUAUUUUUGCACAUUAUUGAGGAUAUAGAAAUCAUUGUUAAAAUUUUCCGAAUUUAUUGGAAAAAAAUUCAUUCCUUUCAGGCCUUGAAGAUGUUGCCCAGAGAAAACAUACAAGUAGCCACAAAGUUUGGGUUUGCAGAAUUGGGACUUGAUGCUGUGAUUGUGAAGGGUAACCCUGAGUAUGUGCGCUCAUGUUGUGAAGCUAGCUUGAAGCGCCUUGAUGUGGAAUACAUUGAUCUGUAUUAUCAACAUAGAGUGGACACAUCAGUCCCCAUAGAGGAAACUGUGAGUGAUUCUCUCUUCCUCAGGCUAACUAUCUGAAUUGAAGAGUUUUGACCCCAAUUAUGAUUUUUAGAUUCUGAUUGUAUCAGUAGUGGUGGGGAUCCAUAUUGAUUGAAUGUGUUCAAAACUAUAUUUGUCAUUUCCUUGUCAAAAUAUAGAUUGGCGAAAUGAAAAAGCUGGUGGAAGAGGGUAAAAUCAAGUACAUAGGAUUAUCUGAGGCUAGCCCAGAUACAAUUAGGAGAGCACAUGCUGUUCAUCCUAUCACAGCUGUACAACUGGAAUGGUCUCUUUGGACUCGUGACAUUGAGAAUGAGAUAGUACCACUUUGCAGGUUCGUUCGACUCGCGAUGAAGAGUGUUUAAGGACCUAUUUAAUUGUUCCUAUCUAAAACUUUAAUUUUUGUAUCUAGUGUCUGAGGAUAUAGCAUUUCAUAAAAUUAGUAACUUGAAUAGGAUAGAUUAGAUUUUCAAAGGAAGUAUAUUCUAUUUAUUUGUUCCAAUCUACUAUUUUGUACCUAAUGUCUGUAGAUAUAGAAUUUUGUAAAAUUCAAUACUUGCAUAGAAUAGAUUAGAUUAGAUUUUAAGUGGAAGUAUAUGCUUGCAUGUACAAGACUGCCCUUCUGAUAGAUUGAAGUGUGCAGGGAGCUUGGCAUUGGAAUAGUUCCAUACAGUCCUCUUGGUCGUGGAUUUUUCGGUGGCAAAGCUGUUGUGGAAAGUGUGCCUCCAGAUAGCUUUUUGGUAUGUUUUUCAUCAAUGUUUGUCCGCAUCGUUUUGUUUCAUAACACAGUAUAACAUAGAUGUUUUUAAGAAACAACAUGAGCUUUCCAGUUUCAUUUGAGACUAAUGUUCCAUAUGUGGUGAAGCUUAUUAAAAUUCUGCAUGUAUCUGUUUUAUAAGAAUUUUCUUCCUCGGUUCACCGGAGAGAACCUGGACAGAAACAGGAGUAUUUAUUUUCGCAUAGAGAACCUUGCCAAAAAGUACAAAUGCACUUCUGCGCAAUUAGCACUGGCAUGGGUUCUCGAACAGGGGGAUGAUGUCGUACCUAUUCCUGGUAAGUUUCUAUCCUUGAGUUCAUGAUUCACGUGUUGACUUGAAGAAAUAUAUAGAGUUCAAAUUCGAGCUGAUCAAAAUAAUGUUGCCUAAUGUUUACUGGUAAUUUGCUUCGAGCAUCAGGGACAACUAAGAUUAAGAACCUAGAAGACAAUAUUGGCUCCUUGACAGUAAAACUUACAAACGAGGAUCUGAAAGAAAUUUCUGAUGCCGUACCCACAGAAGAGGUUGCAGGAGGAAGAUAUCCAGAUUCCUUUGACAAAACAUCGUGGAAUUUUGCAAACACACCUCCAAAAGACUCUUAAGGUUUGAACUUUGAGCUUAAAAUAUUUGCCGGAUGCUGCCUAUAUCAUCACUUGGGGUUGGGAGCUUGGGAUGUCGUAUUUUACGCAAAUAAACUCAGAUAAAUGUCAGAACAUGUUUACAAGAUACCGGUACAUUACUUCGUGCUAAACAAUUUCAUGAGUAAAACUUUGAUCAUUAUGAUGUACUAUAUAUUUGUAAACAUGGUGUGCCGGAUUUGUGAAGUGAGAAUAUGUGUGAGGCUUUUUAAGGUACAACCUGAAAUCAAGUUGCUAAAAUAUUUUUGCCGACUCUCUCUUUCUUUGAAAAUGAAGAUUACAAAUAUCCAAAUUUUGGAUGGAAACAAUUUGACUGCAUUUGCUUCAUCAUAGUACAGAUACAGGUCGAUUCGCAGGCAAAUUAUGGUGUUUGUAGAUGAAACACUUAUUGAAGCAAAAUUAUAUUCAAGUUACAGUGAGAAUGGAGAUUGGAAAAUAACUGCUGUUUGUUUAAGAAUACUCUCUUAUCAUUCAGGAGGAUACAAAUUAACUACCAUUUAAGUCUGACUGGUGCGGUGGUGCAAUUACCACCCCUUUAAGGUCCUUAUGAAACCCAUUUUUAAUUAAAAUUACAUAAAUAGCCAAAGACAAAUUUAAUUGAUUAUAUUUUGAAUGGAAAUUCAAAUAGACACUUAUUUAUUUUUUAACAAAUUUUUUACGCUCACACAACCUCAAAUUCUAUAUUUAUCUUUUAAUUUAUAUUUGAAAAUAUAACUUUUUAUACUAAAAAUAUAUUUUUUAAAGAUUUUUUUUUUACUGGAAAUUAGUUUAGGAUUAAUCAGUUGGUUUGCUAGCCAAAAAGUAAAAAGAUGGCAUAGGGUAGGUUUAUAAUCGUUGAGUUUCUACUUAAUUUUAAAAGUAUAGUUGUUAAAGAUUCUAGUGAACAUUUACUACUUAAGUAAAUAAUAUUCACCGAGCACUCACUUAUCCAUUUAUAUUUAACUGCUAGUAAUUUUGUUCUACAAACACUUUGAAGACGUGAGGUAUAUUUUUAUUGGUAUAUGUGUAUUUAACCAUUUUGGGUCCUAAAAUAAUUAUCAAUUUUUAAGAAGAAUAAAAGCAAAAGAAUGUUUACGUACUUGCUUACGUGAUUAAUAUUGUUAAGCAAACGUGUGCUUACAUACUUGCUUACAUGAUGAAUGUAGUUUAGCAAAAGGGUGCUUACGUACUUGCUUACCUGAUUAUUGUAGAAUACGAUUCUUUACAGCUUCAGGUUACAAUUUUUGUCACUUAUUCAUAUGUUUGAUUUGAUGUUCAAACUUGGAAGUGACAAAAUUCAAUUGCGCAGUCAGCAGUCAUCAAAGACUACUCAAGCUGCUACAGUGCAUUACCGUUGUGAUUUAGAAGUUAAAUUAGUUUUAUUUUAUAUUUGUAUAAUGAAAAAUUUAUAAUACAAUACAUGAUUAAUACCAAGCAGGGCCUCACACGGAAUGUUUGUUUUAAAUUAUUUUUUUAUGAAGAUAUUUGUUUUUUUAAAAUUGAAUAGUGUAUAAGGCUCAAUUUCAGUGCUUUAGACAUUUUAAAGAUUUUUAUUUUUCAACUUAACACUGAAAAAUUGUUGUUUAUGCUUGAAUUUAAAUUUUUAUUUUGGUCAUAGUUGUUGUGUGUGUGUGUAUACAAUCCUUUUUUAGUACGGAUGCUCUCAAUUUUUUUUUUUUUUUGCUGACACGUUUUGAAGCCGUAGGAUUCAAUAGAGUCAGAUUUUAAUGCCAUUAAAGUGCACGACUUUAAGUGGUGAGGUUUAAUAGAGACAAAUUUUAAUGUUAUUAAACUGAUCUAGUAUAGACUCUCUCAUAUUUUUUUUAUACUAACACACUUUUAAGUUGUGGGGUUUAAUAGAGUCAGAUUUUAAUGUUAUUAAACUACGCGAUUUUAUAGCGCAUUCAAAAACUAACUUUAUUAAACCAUACAACUUAACAGUGCAUCUGCAUUUAAAAAAAUGAGGGUGUCUACAUCUGAGAAUGAUUACACACAUCAGAAGUGCGGGCACCUUCAUUUUUUUAAAUGCAGACACACUAUUAAAAUAUAUGAUUUAAUAAAGUCAGUUUUUAAAUGUACUAUAAAAUCGUGUGGUCUAAUAGUAUUUAAAUCUGACUCUAUUAAACCCCACGACAUAAAAGAAUGUUCGCAUAAAAAAAAAAUGAGGGCGUCCGCACUACUCUAUGGCAAUAAAUUAAAAUCUUUAUUAAUUUCCUAAUGAUUUGAAUUUUCAUAAUUACAAGAACCAAUCAUUUCAAUCGUAUUGGUACGAAAAUUUCAAUUUGAUAUCAUACAUAGUACAGAUCAUACAUGCCCAUUUUAUUGUGUAAAUUAAAAAUAUCAAUAACAAAAAUAUUAUUUUGAUAAAAAAUUAGGUUAUAAAAUUUUGAUAAAAAGCUUAAGAAGAUUAAAAUGUCUUGACAAAAAAUAAGUUGAUUGAUAGCUACUUGCCCUAAGAUUUUAAUCAAAAUUUUACCCUAUCAUUUAUUUAGCAUUGUUCGAUAAAUAAAAACAAUUGUUUAAUAAACAAAAACAAUAAAACAGACUCGAUUGACCGUUAAGUUGAUUUUUUUUUAAUUCUAAAAAUAAAUAAUUAUAAGACACGAGGAUUACGCCUAAGGGCUAAGGCCACCUUCCUUUUGGUUCCUUAUAAAUGUCAUUAGUCCCAUGCCUCCAUAUCUAUGCAUAUUAAGAGUCUGAGACAAGUCUUAAGCCAGUAUCAAGAAAAGAAGAAGAAGAAGAAGAAUACGUUUGAAGAAAAUGGCUGAAGAACAAAGAAUCAAGAUUCCAAGAGUGAAACUUGGUGGGCAAGGAUUUGAGGUAAAGUUCAUUUGGUAACUCUUUUCUUUUACAGCAUCAUGAAAAAUAUAAACAAUCACAAAGAGACAUUAUUGUUUCUCAUAUAAUAUUUUUUGAUGAAUUUUAUGUCUUAAAGGUGUCAAAGUUGGGAUUUGGUUGCAUGGGCCUCACUGGAAUGUACAAUGAUCCUGUCCCUGAUGAAGUUGGCAUAUCAAUAAUCAAGCAUGCAUUUGAUCAAGGAAUAACAUUUUUUGACACAGCAGACGUCUAUGGACCCAAUAAUGCUAAUGAACUUCUUGUUGGAAAGGUUAAUGACCAAUUCACAAUGUCGAUAGAUGAAAACUCUUGGCAUGUAAGUAAUUAAUUGAUGAAUCUUUUCAGGCUCUGAAGCAGUUUCCAAGAGAGAAAGUGCAACUAGCCACAAAAUUUGGUGUUGUCAAAUUUGACGUUAGUGGCCUUGUAAUAAACGGUACCCCUGAGUAUGUUAGAGCCUGCUGUGAGGCUAGCCUGAAGCGUCUUGAUGUUGAAUACAUUGAUCUCUAUUAUCAGCAUCGUGUUGACACAACGGUACCUAUAGAGGAUACUGUACGUAAUCUGCUGCCUUCAUUUCUGAUUUCCUUGUCAACAGUCAUUAGUUGCUGCAUCAAUAGUUAUGGUGGCAUUUUGCUUCUUAUCAGAUGGGAGAACUUAAGAAGUUGGUGGAAGAAGGGAAAAUAAAGUAUAUCGGGUUAUCUGAAGCAAGCCCUGAUACUAUAAGAAGGGCACAUGCAGUUCAUCCUGUUACUGCCUUACAAAUGGAGUGGUCGCUCUGGACUCGCGCAAUUGAGGAUGAAAUAGUCCCACUUUGCAGGUUCUUUAUACUGAAAUUGCAAUUGAAAUGUUACCAUUUUCAUUUUUAUCUAUUCAACUUCAGCAGAUUUUCUUUGGUAAAUGAUUCUCAAGUUACCUCUUAGUUAACAUAUCCGUAUAUUCCUGUAAGUGUGAUUUCUGUUAAUGAGAGGCAAUUGUCAUGUUGGAAUAUUAUGUUAUAGGGAACUUGGAAUUGGGAUAGUUCCAUAUAGUCCACUUGGCAGAGGAUUUUUUGGUGGCAAGGCUAGUGUUGAAAGUUUGCCUGCAAAUAGUAUUCUGGUAUGUUUUAGUCUACAAUGUUUCAUUGGUUCAUUUGCUAUUCUGAUCUUGUUACUUUUGAGAGUAAUUUUGAAUUGAUUAACUGAUGGCCAAUCUUUACUCAAGACAUGGCAUCCUAGGUUCUCAGGAGAGAACAUUGACAAAAACAAGAUCUUAUAUUUGCGUCUGCAAAAGUUAGCCGAAAAGCAUGAAUGCAACCCUGCACAACUUGCACUUGCUUGGAUUCUUCAUCAAGGAGAUGAUGUAGCACCAAUUCCUGGUGAGUUAAUCUUUCUUUUCUUAUCGACCGGUGCAAUCAUGAUAGACAUCUCUCCUAUAUGAGUUGAUAAGCCUUGUAUGUGCUUUAUUUUUUUGGCAGGUACAACAAAGAUUAAAAAUCUCGACGACAAUAUAGGUUCUUUGAGAGUGAAACUUACAAAUGAAGAUUUAGAUGAGAUUUCUUCUGUGAUUCCCAUCAAUGAGGUAGCAGGGGAUGGGGUAAUUGGCGGUCUCCUUCGCUACUCCUGGAAGUUCGCGAACACACCAGCAAAAGAUGGUCCACCUCCUCCAGCUACUAAAAGCAUUUGAAAUUUGUAAAAAUUGUACCGAUAAGCAACUUAAUUAGCUUAAGUUAUAAGAAAUGAUGUCUUGAAUAAUUGCAGAAUCUAGCAAACCAGCAUUGAAGUGGAUCAACAAGAUAAGCAAAACCCAAACUGUUUUUCUUGCGACAAAGGCGCAAAGAAAUGAUUUGAGAUUCUGUCACAAUGUUGAGAAUUACUACUGUUUGUUUUAAUAAAUGAUAAUGAAAAUGCAGGGUAGCUUUUAUGUAUUUGAUUUGAGCCUGCUAUGUUGUUGCUAAAUGAAUAUUAUGUACUGAAGGAAAUGUGCAAUCACUAUCGACUCAAGGGUGUUUCCAGCAAGUAAUCUCUAAAAUUAAAAGAUGAACUUGUUCCGAUUUUCCACCUUUUGAGUACUAAUGCAACAACUUUUCAAGUAUUGUUCUGAAAAUUUUAAAUCCUUGGUAUUCAAAACUCAAGCUAUUAUAAAUAGUUUAUGAUCGUUGCAUUGCUUGUACUAUGAGUUCGGUAUGAGCCUUCAAUCAAAAAAAAAAAAAAAAUACAAGCCAUGGUAGAUUCAAUUAUUCAUCAAGAGUAACAUCAGGAGGCUAAAUUCAGCCACAGGAGCCAAAAGAAACCACAGGUUGCACAAUAUAGGAUUCAAAUUGGAUUGCACUCAAAACUUGUUCAAUCGGAAAGACACAAGGAUAUAGUACAUAUGUAAUCUCGUUACUAGAAAAAAUCUUAAGUGGAAUUGACAUACCAUAUGAUCGUAUACUUAUCCACUAAAAUUUUAGUAUAUAUAUCCAUUUUAAAAUUGGUCAAUCAUGAAAAUAAGAGCAAAGAAAAUUAGAUCAUUUAACAUCAUUUUAUUACGGAAAAUUUACAAAAAAAGCCAAAAAAAUUAGGCAUUUUUCAACUUUAACCCCUCAAACUUUUUUCUUUCAAUAUUAACCAAAUCAUCAAAUUAUGGACGAAAUUGCCCUCCUCAUUCUCACGUUUCCCUCAAGCAAAUUCCCCCCCCCCUCUCACCAAAAUCUCAUCACUGGAAGUUGUAUAGAUCGUCGGCGGCAGCGUAGAUCGGCAGCGGAAGAAGUUGUCGGCGGCUGAAAGAAGUUAAAUCACGUUGAAAAUCUUCGGAGAUCUCCAAAAUCAAAGAAAAAAUUAAAAACCCUAGGUGAAUUGUUAUUGUCGUUGUUGUUGUUGUUGUUGAUGUUGUUGUUGUUUGGGAUGUUGUUGAUGUUGGUGGUGUUUAAUGGCGGUGGUGGGUGAGAUGCAUGUGGGAAAGGGAAGGGAAGAGAAAGAGAAGAGAAAGGGAAGGGGAAGUGAAGGCACGCAUGCGUUGCGCGCGAGAUUCGCACGCCGCGCGCAUUUCGCUUGCGACAGGUGCUGCGUUGCGCGUGAGAUGCUCGCAGCGUGCGCAUCUCGUGUGCUACAGGCGAUGCGUCGCGCACGAGAUUCGCACGUUGCGCGCAUUUCGCGUGCGACAGGUGCUGCGUCGCGCGCGAGAUGCUCGCAGCGUGCGCAUCUCGCGUGCGACAGGCUAUGCGUCGCGCGUGAGAUCGCGCGCGACGNNNNNNNNNNNNNNNNNNNNNNNNNNNNNNNNNNNNNNNNNNNNNNNNNNNNNNNNNNNNNNNNNNNNNNNNNNNNNNNNNNNNNNNNNNNNNNNNNNNNGCGCGACGCAGCGCCUGUCGCGCUCUAGAUGCGCAUGCUGCGCGCAUCUUGCGUGCCAGGCAGCGGCCUCGCGCGCGCGAGUUGCGGGCAGGCUGGCACGCAACUCGCGCGCCCUUGGCUUCCCUCGCACGCCUGUCGCACCAAGAGGUGCUGCCUCUUGGUGCGACGGGGUGCCAAGAGGUGCUGCUUGUUGGUGCGACGGGCACCCCGUCGCACCAAGAGGCAGUGCGUGGUGCAUUUCCCAUUGCACUUUACCAUGAAGCUUUGCCAAAGCUGGCUUUGUGGAUUGAUUAGUAGCAUUGGCGUAAUGAUACUACACAAUUUGCUUCACUCUAUAAAUUCUAUUAACUGCAAUGAAAAUCAUAUCUUGCAGCACAUAUACAUUGAAGCAACAGCUUUGCACAUUGUUGCAGAAAUUAAUUCGUUUUUUUCUUUUUAUGUAGGAUAUAAGGCGAAGCAUUAAUUCAGGUAGUUUGCAGCCACUAAUGACAAACAUUCCAGCUUCUUCCAUGUAUAGUGUGAGAUCAGGAUCCACAAAAAGUAGGACAGUUAGUGUUACAGACUCUCCUCUUGCCACAAGCAGCAAUGCUAGCUCUGAACCAAGUGCCAACAACAACUCCUUUAUUUUAGACGGAAGUGAACUCGAUGACAUUCAUGAUUUUGGGAGUGAGAGAGGAAACUUCUCCCCUGUAAGGCACAAUACAACAGAAAACAAUUUAUAACAUUAAAAAUUAUAGACUAAUUAGAGUAAGGCACAAUACAAUCUCGAUAAAUUAAUAGUUUGCGACCAUAAAAAAUAUAUUAAUUUAUCAAUAGAUUAAUAAUUUAUUAAUUUAUAAAGAUAAUAUCAUGUUCAUAAUAGGAAAUUUUAUGAAAUAUGGUAGUAUAAUUAAAGAAUGUAGUGAUUUUAUCAAGUUAUAUGAUAUGAUUCUAAAUAAUCUUUUUGGAGGCAAUAUAUUAGAUUUACUUCGUCUCAUCGUAAGCUUCGAAACAAUAUAUUAUACGCCUAAAACGGACACAUGUAGCCCAAGUUAUUACUUUCAGAAAAUAACUUAAAUUUAGUGAGACAGGCAGUGGAACAGGUGCCUGUCUCACAUAAAACCAGCAGAUUUAUGUGAGACAGGUGCCUGUCCCACUUGCCUGUCUCACAUAAAACCAGUGAUAACAAGUGAGACAGGCGCCUGUCUCACAUAAAAGGGAAUAGUGGCAUACCUUUGUAAAUUUGAUGAAAAUGAUGAGGGUAAUGUAGUCCAAAAAUAGAGUGUUUGGCUAGUUAUGAUAGAAAAAAGUUUGAGGGGUUAAAGUUAAAAAAUGCCUAAUUUUUUUGGCUAUUUUUGUAAAUUUCCCUUUUAUUACAUGGUCUCGAUAUUUGAUGGUCACAUUGAGAGCGUAAGUAUCUCUCCUACCGGACAUUUUGCAAAGUCUAGGCUUUAUUGGUCAACUUUUAAACUAUUUUGUGCUUGUUUCCAAUUACACUGAACUUCAGAAUUUUGUUAAAACUUAAUAAUUAUAAUAUUACAUGAAUGCUUAUGAUAAAAAUAGAGACACGUAUUCCAGCUUAACACUUGCCAAGACACAACCUCGGAGUUGAAGCCGAACCGCAUUCCUCUUUGUCCUCAUUCUGCUCAUUGCCCAAGUUAAGGUCAACGAGCUCUACUUACUGAAAGACACUGAAACAAAGAAACCAAAACAACAUCCUCAAAUAUGGCAGAAGAGAAACUCCAAGUUCCAAGAGUGAAACUGGGUACCCAAGGCCUUGAGGUAAACUGUCCAUUUGUAAUUUUUACCUUUUUUUCAAAAAAAGGUCCUGAAAAUUUGUUUUCUAUAAUUGUGUGUUUUGCAUGCUUUUACAGGUUUCAAAAUUGGGUUUUGGAUGCAUGAACCUGAGCGGAGGUUAUAGCUCUCCAGUCUCAGAAGAGGACGGCAUAACAAUGAUAAAGCAUGCUUUCAGUAAAGGAAUCACUUUCUUUGAUACUGCUGAUGUUUACGGACAAAAUGCUAAUGAAGUUCUUCUUGGAAAGGUCAUGGUCUUCUGUUGCAGUUUUCUAAACAAUAUUUCUGUUUCAUUAAUUUAAUUAUAUACAAUUCACAGAUAGAUCAAGUGGUAACUUAAGGAGUAUGAUAGUUGCAAAGAUUCAAGUAAUUUUUCUUAUAACUUGUUGGUAAUACAAAGAUCAUAAUACUAAUAAUGAAAUAUUUCUGUUUAAGGAAUUGGUGGAUAGCUACUUUUGGGGAUUGUUGUGGAUAUCAUAGGAUGGAAAUCAUUAUCAGAAUAUUGCGAAUUUAUUGGAAAAAAAAAAUUCACUCCUUUUGAUUUCAGGCCUUGAAGCAGUUGCCUAGAGAAAAGAUACUAGUAGCAACGAAGUUUGGGAUUGCAGGAAUAGGAGAUACUGAUAUCAUCGUGAAGGGUUCCCCUGAUUAUGUGCGCUCGUGUUGUGAAGCUAGCUUGAAGCGUCUUGAUGUGGAUUACAUUGAUCUAUAUUAUCAACAUAGAGUGGACAAAUCAGUUGCUAUAGAGGAAACGGUGACUUAUUAUUAUGAUUAUUUUUUUCUCUCCAGGCUAACUAUGUGAAUUGUAAAGAUUUGUCCCAAAUUACAAUAUGAAAGAAUAUGUUAGAAACUAUAUCCCUUGUCAUGUUAUAGAUUGGUGAAAUGAAGAAGCUAGUGGAAGAGGGUAAAAUCAAGUACAUUGGAUUAUCUGAGGCUAGUCCAGACACAAUUAGGAGAGCACAUGCUGUUCAUCCCAUUGCAGCUGUACAAAUGGAAUGGUCCCUCUGGACUCGUGAUAUUGAGGAAGAUAUAAUACCACUUUGCAGGUCUGAUCUGCUUUCAAUGAAUGCUAUCCCCAUUAUUCUUUUCUUCUAUAGGCCUUUGAAGAGUGUCCAAGGACCUAUUUAUUUGUGCCAAUCUAGUAUUCUGUACCUAAUGUCCAUAGAUACAGAAUUUUGUUUAUUCAUUAAUUGCGUAGAGUAGAUUAGAUUUUCUGUGGAAGUAUAUGCUAAUAUGUACUAGGCUGCCCUUCUGAUACAUUAAAGUGUACAGGGAACUUGGCAUUGGAAUAGUUCCAUUCAGUCCUCUUGGUCGUGGAUUUUUUGGUGGCAAAGUUGUAGUGGAAAGUGUACCUGCAGAUAGCUUCUUGGUAUGUUUUUCAGCUAUUUUUAUCCACAUCAUUUUGUUUCCUACGUCAGUACUAUAUCAUUGUCUUAAACACUAGUUUUCCAGUUUCAUUUAAUGUUUUAUAUAUCGUAAUACAUAUUAAGACAAUGCAUUCGUUUCUUUUAUAAGCAUCUUUUCCCUCGGCUCAAUGGAGAGAACCUGGACAGAAACAGGAGUAUUUAUGUUCGCAUAGAGAACCUUGCCAAAAAGAACAAAUGCAGUUCUGCUCAACUAGCACUGGCAUGGGUUCUUGGACAGGGGGAUGAUGUUGUACCAAUUCCUGGUAAAUUUCUUUUGUGUUUGUGAUUCAUGUAGUGCCUUGAAGAAGUGUAUAGAGUUUAGAAAAACCCAGCCUAUCAAGAUAAGAUUACCUGCAUUAAUGGAUACUGUUAUUUUGCUUCGAGUUUCAGGGACAACUAAGAUUAAGAACCUGGAUGAAAAUAUUGGCUCCUUGAUAGUAAAACUUUCAAAAGAGGAUCUGAAAGAAAUUUCUGAUGCUGUACCGAUAGAAGAGGUAGCUGGAGGCAGAUUCCCAGAUAUCUUUGACAAAUCAUCGUGGAGGUUUGCAAACACCCCUCCAAAAAGGCAAUGAGGUUUGAAAUAUUCUGGACGCUGGAAUGCUGCCUAUCUCACUCUUGGGGUUGGGAUGCAGUACUUUAUUCAAAUAAAUACCUAAUUAGCUAUAAACUUCGGAUGAUCACUAUGAUCUACUAUAUGUUUGUUAAUUUAGUGUGGCCAUUUGUGAACUGAGAAUAUCUUUUAUUGUAAACCUGAAGUCACAUCCUGAAUUCAAGUUGCUGUAAAAGCUUGCCAACUCUUUUUUUGAAAACAAGGUUGCAAAUUCCAAUAGCUAAAUUUGAGUUCUACCUUGUGGGCUUAACAACAUUUCAAAUUGUAAAUGGUACUUAAGCUUUCUUUUUCAUUUUUUUUUUCUUUCCCUUGUGUGUUUCUUAGGAUUAUGUUCCUGAUUUUGUUGCAUUUACAGAACUGAAUCACUAAUAUAAGCAAAAGCCAAAAUAUUUUCUUGCAACAAAAGCAAAAGAAAGGAUACAAAUUUCUAUCACGAUAGAGAGAAUUCGUUCUCCUUGUUUCAGUAAAUGAUAAGGAAAAUGCAAGGUUGCUUUUAUGUAUUUGAUUAUAGCCUGCUAUGUUGUUGCUACAUGAAUAUUAUGUACUGAAAGAUUUGUACACUCUCUAUGACUCAAGGCUGUUUCCAGCAGGCAAUCACCCAAAUUAAAAGAUGAACUUGUUCCUAUUUUCCUCCUUGUGCGUACUAAUGCAAAAGCUAUUCAAGUAUUGCUCUGAAAAUUUAAAAUCCUUGAUGUUCAAAACUCAAGCUAUUAUAAAUAGUUUAUGGUCGUUGCAUUGCUUGUAUUAUGAGUGUGGCAUUAGCCUUCAAUCAAAGAAAAUACAAAGCCAUGGCAUAUUCAAUUAUUCAUUCAAGGCUAACAUCAGGAGGAUAAAUUCAGCCACAGGAGCCAAAAGAAACGACAGGAUGCACAAUAUUGCAUUCAAAUUGGAUUGCACUCAAAACAUAUUCAAUUGAAACAACACAAUAAUGCGGCACAUAUGUAAUCUUGAUGUUAGAAAAAAUUUCAAGUAUGCUGACAUCCACGUCAUCACACGCCUAUCUAAUAAAAUUUUAGUAUAUAUAUCCAUUUUAAAGUUGGUCAAAAUUAGAUCGUUUAAUAUAAUUUUAUUAGAGGGUCUCGUUAUUUGACAGUCACACCGAGAACAUAAAUAUCUCUCCUACCAGAAAUUUUGCAAAGUCUAGGGCUUAUUUGUCAACUUUUAAACUUUUUUGAACUUGCUUCCAAUUACACUGAACUUCAGGAUUUUGUCCAAACUAUAUAAUUGUAAUAUUACAUUAUUCGCCAUGAUAAAGAUACAGAGAACAUAUUCCAGCUUAGCCCUUGUCAAGACACAACCUUGGAGUUGGAGCCGAGCCACAAUCCUCUUUGUCUCAUUCUGCUCAUUGCUCAAGUUAAAGUCAACCAUCUCUCCUCAUUGAAAGACAUUGAAACAAAGAAGCCAAACUACAGCCUCAAAAAUGGCAGAAGAGAAACACCAAGUUCCAAGAGUGAAAUUGGGUACCCAAGGCCUUGAGGUAAACAACCCAUUUGUAAUUUUCAUUUUUUCAAAAAAGGUCCUGAAAAUUUGUUUUCUAUGAUUGUGUGUUUUGCAUGCUUUUACAGGUUUCAAAAUUGGGUUAUGGAUGCAUGAACCUGAGUGGAGGUUAUAGCUCUCCAGUCUCAGAAGAGGAUGGCAUAUCAAUGAUAAAGCAUGCUUUCAGUAAAGGAAUCACUUUCUUUGAUACUGCUGAUGUGUACGGACAAAAUGCUAAUGAAGUUCUUCUUGGAAAGGUUAUGGUUUUCUGUUGCAAUUUUCUUAACAACGUUUCUGUAUGAUAAAUUUAAUUAUAUACAAUUCACACAUAGAUCAAGUGGUAACUUAAGGAGUAUGAUGGUUACUAAGAUUCGAGAAAUUUUUCUUAUAACUCGUUGACAAUACAAGGAUCACAAUACUAAUAAUGAAAUAUUUUAUGCUAAUAAUGAAAUAUUUUUGUUAAGGGAAUUGGUAAAUAGCUACUUUUGGGUACUAUUGUGGAUAUCAUAGGAUGGAAAUCAUUAUCAGAAUAUUGUGAAUUUAUUGGAAAAAUAAUUCACUCCUUUUCAUUUCAGGCCUUGAAGCAGUUGCCUAGAGAAAAGAUGCAAGUAGCAACAAAGUUUGGGAUUGCAGGAAUAGGAGUUGCUGGUGUGAUCGUGAAGGGUGCCCCUGAUUAUGUGCGCUCGUGUUGUGAAGCUAGCUUGAAGCGCCUUGAUGUGGAUUACAUUGAUCUAUAUUAUCAACAUAGAGUGGACACAUCAGUCCCCAUAGAGGAAACCGUGAGCGAAUUUUUUUUUUUUUGGGGGAUAUCUGAAUUGUAAAGUUCUGUCCCAAAUUGCAAAAUUUGAAGAUUUAUUUUAGAAACUCUAUUACUUGUCAUGUUAUAGAUUGGCGAAAUGAAGAAGCUGGUGGAAGAGGGUAAAAUCAAGUACAUUGGAUUAUCUGAGGCCAGCCCAGGCACAAUUAGGAGAGCACAUGCUGUUCAUCCCAUCACAGCUGUACAAAUGGAAUGGUCCCUCUGGACUCGUGAUAUUGAGGAAGAGAUAAUACCCCUCUGCAGGUUUGUUCUUCUUUCAGUGAACACUAUCCGCAUUAGUCUUUUCUUCUACAGGCCUUUGAAGAGUGUCUAAGGGCCUAUUUAUUUGUUCCAAUCUAGUAUUUCGUACCUAAUGUUUGUAUAAUUUUUUAAAUUUAGUUGCGUGCAUAGAAUAGAUUAGAUUUUAUGUGCAAGUGUAUGCUAAUAAAUACAAGGCUGUCCUUCUGAUACAUUGAGGUGGGCAGGGAACUCGGCAUUGGAAUAGUUCCAUACAGUCCUCUUGGUCGUGGAUUUUUCGGUGGCAAAGCUGUUGUGGAGAAUGUACCUGCAGAUAGCUUUUUGGUACUUUUUUCGGUCAAUGUUUAUCCGCAUCAUUUUGUUUCCUCAGUCAGUACUAUAUAAAUGUUUUAAACUAACAAAAGUAGUUUUACAGUUUCUUUUAAUGCUACUGUUUUAUAUAUCGUAGUAUAUAUGAAAAUGAUACGUGUGUUUGUUUUAUAAGCAUUUUCUUCCUAGGUUCAAAGGAGAGAACCUGGACAGGAACAAGAGUAUUUAUUUUCGCAUAGAGAACCUUGCCAAAAAGUACAAUUGCACUUCUGCUCAACUAGCCCUAGCAUGGGUUCUCGGACAGGGGGAUGAUGUCGUACCUAUUCCCGG